rnacentral:lncRNA from 1 species
UGCUUGGCAUUACCGGACUUUGAUGAUCGGAGAAACUGUAUUCCAGAACGACCGGUUCAACGCUCUGAGAGGCAAUGUAAGUCGUUCUUGUCUAAGCCUGUGGAUUGCAGUUCUUUUGGAUGUCCUUCUUUUGUUGCUCCGUCGCCACCUGUGGUGGUGCCAUCGCCGCCACCUGUGGUGGUCCCUUCUCCGCCACCUGUUGUUGUACCAACACCAUCGCCACCUGUUUACCCUCCACCGCCACCUAAAUCCGAGUCACAUCCCAUUUACCGACCACUCCCUCCGCCGCCGCCGCCGCCGCCAUCCCCAUCUCCCCCUCCCCCGCCUGUUUACUCCCUCCUCCACCUCCACCAUCCCCACCACCGCCGUCUCCACCUCCACCGUCCCCACCACCGCCAGUUUACUCUCCACCCCCACCUCCACCAUCUCCUCCACCGCCUUCUCCACCACCCCCAUCACCCCCACCGCCGCCCCCACCAGUUUACUCUCACCCCCACCUCCACCUUCACCGCCCCCGCCAUCUCCACCACCACCACCACCUCCGGUUUACUCUCCACCACCACCUCCACCCUCUCCUCCCCCGCCAUCUCCUCCCCCACCAUCGCCGCCGCCACCGGCACCGGUGUAUUGCGUCCGACCAUCACCCCCACCUCCACCACCAAACUCUCCCCCACCUCCUCCUCCCUUGUUCUCUCCACCCCCACCUGUUUACUACUACAAUUCACCGCCACCUCCCAACUCUCCACCACCCCCACCAAUGUACUCUCCUCCACCACCGCCACACUCGCCGCCUCCUCCUCCACAUUCACCACCACCACCAAUCUAUCCUUACUUAUCUCCUCCACCUCCUCCACCUGUCUAUUCUCCACCUCCCCCUCCACCGGUCUAUUCACCGCCUCCCCCACCGCCGUGUAUAGAACCACCCCCACCUCCUCCGCCGCCGUGUAUAGAAUAUCAUGAACCCCCCCACCAC